rnacentral:rRNA from 1 species
CGCCUCUUUAUCAAAAACAUCGCCUCCUGCAAAAGAACUAAGUAUAGGAGGUCCAGCCUGCCCAGUGACUACGGGUUCAACGGCCGCGGUAUUUUGACCGUGCAAAGGUAGCGCAAUCACUUGUCUUUUAAAUAGAGACCUGUAUGAAUGGCUAAACGAGGGCUUAACUGUCUCCCCCUUCAAGUCAGUGAAAUUGAUCUAUCCGUGCAGAAGCGGAUAUGAAUAUACAAGACGAGAAGACCCUUUGGAGCUUAAGGUACAAAAUUCAACCACGUUAAACAACUAAAUAAAAAGCAAGAACUUAGUGGGCCAUGAAGUUUUACCUUCGGUUGGGGCGACCGCGGAGGAAAAAUCAGCCUCCGAGUGGAAUGGGCUAAACCCCUAAAACCAAGAGAAACAUCUCUAAGCCGCAGAACAUCUGACCAUUAAUGAUCCGGCCCAACAGCCGAUCAACGAACCAAGUUACCCUAGGGAUAACAGCGCAAUCCUCUCCCAGAGUCCAUAUCGACGAGGGGGUUUACGACCUCGAUGUUGGAUCAGGACAUCCUAAUGGUGCAGCCGCUAUUAAGGGUUCGUUUGUUCAACGAUUAAAGUCCUACGUGAUCUGAGUUCAGACCGG